rnacentral:rRNA from 1 species
CUGCAAAUGGCUCAUUAAAACAGAUAUAGUUUAUUUGAUACAUAAAAUGGAUAACUGUAGAAAAACUAGAGCUAAUACAUGCCAUAACCGCAAGUUGUAUUUAUUAGAUAUUCCAAUUAAGGUGAAUCAUAAUAACUUCGCAAAUCUUGGUUAUGCCAAGAUAAAUCAUCCAAGUUUCUGCCCUAUCAUGCUUUCGAUGGUAGUGUAUUGGACUACCAUGGCUUUCACGGGUAACAGGGAAUUAGGGUUCGAAACUGGAGAAGGAGCCUGAGAAACGGCUACUACAUCUACGGAAGGCAGCAGGCGCGUAAAUUACCCAAUCCUGACUCAGGGAGGUGGUGACAAGAUAUAACAACGCGAUGUAAAUCGCAUUGUAGUGAGGGUAUUCUAAACCGAACCACUAGUACGAUUAGAGGGCAAGUCUGGUGCCAGCAGCCGCGGUAAUUCCAGCUCUAAUAGCGUAUAUAAGUUGCUGCAGUUAAAAAGCUCGUAGUUGGAUUUCAAGGAUCGUUUACCUUUCGGGGUAGGCCUCCUACUAGUCUUUGACUGUUACUGAGAGAAAAUUAGAGUGUUUAAAGCAGGCUUUUGCAAGAAUACAUUAGCAUGGAAUAACGAAUGUGUUUAGAAUCUUGGUUAAUUCUAAUUACGAUUAAUAGAGACAGUUGGGGGCAUUAGUAUUUAAUUGUCAGAGGUGAAAUUCUUGGAUUUGUUAAAGACUAACGUAUGCGAAAGCAUUUGCCAAGGAUGUUUUCAUUAAUCAAGAACGAAAGAUAGGGGAUCU